rnacentral:rRNA from 1 species
GACGAACGCUGGCGGCGUGCUUAACACAUGCAAGUCGAACGGAAAGGCCCUGCUUUUGUGGGGUGCUCGAGUGGCGAACGGGUGAGUAACACGUGAGUAACCUGCCCUUGACUUUGGGAUAACUUCAGGAAACUGGGGCUAAUACCGGAUAGGAGCUCCUGCUGCAUGGUGGGGGUUGGAAAGUUUCGGCGGUUGGGGAUGGACUCGCGGCUUAUCAGCUUGUUGGUGGGGUAGUGGCUUACCAAGGCUUUGACGGGUAGCCGGCCUGAGAGGGUGACCGGCUCGCGGGGGUGUGGGCUGCGGCCCUGGCUCUGACGGAGGGCGGCGGUGAGGAUGGUGGCGCAAGGGGGGGGAUCCUGGUGCAGCACGGCGGGUUGCGGGUUGCGGCACUGGGGGUUGUAACCGGUGUUAGCUGGGGAGGAAGAGUGAGGUACGGUAGUGGGAAGAAAAGCACGGGCUAACUACGUGCGAGCGGCCGCGGUAGGGGAGAGGAGCCGCGGUCGGCCC